UACAGAGGUCCCAAGCGUUGUUCGGAUUCAUUGGGCGUAAAGGGUGCGUAGGCGGCCCUGUAAGUCAGUGCUGAAAUAUCCCGGCUUAACCGGGAGGGUGGCAUUGAUACUGCGGGGCUAGAGUACAGAUGAGGUAGGCGGAAUUGACGGUGUAGCGGUGAAAUGCUUAGAUAUCGUCAAGAACACCUAUAGCGAAGGCAGCUUACUAGGCUGUAACUGACGCUGAGGCACGAAAGUGUGGGGAUCAAACAGG
rnacentral:rRNA from 1 species